rnacentral:rRNA from 1 species
CCUACGGGAGGCAGCAGUGGGGAAUAUUGCGCAAUGGGCGAAAGCCUGACGCAGCGACGCCGCGUGAGGGAUGAAGGUCUUCUGAUCGUUAACCUCUGUCAGCAGGGAAGAACGGUCACUGUGCUAAUCAGCAGUGACUUGACGGUACCUGCAAAGGAAGCACCGGCUAACUCCGUGCCCGCAGCCGCGGUAAUACGGAGGGUGCGAGCGUUAAUCGGAUUUAUUGGGUUUAAAGGGUGCGCAGGCGGAGGCACAAGUCAGCGGUAAAAUCGCGGGGCUCAACCCCGCUCCGCCGUUGAAACUGUGUCCCUUGAGUGCGCGAAGGGUAGGCGGAAUGCGUGGUGUAGCGGUGAAAUGCAUAGAUAUCACGCAGAACUCCGAUCGCGAAGGCAGCCUACCGGCGCGCAACUGACGCUCAUGCACGAAAGCGUGGGUAUCGAACAGGAUUAGAUACCCCAGUAGUC